AACUAAAUUUCACAAUUUUAAGCUUUUUUUUGUAUUUGGCCUCUUCAAAAAAAAUUUUACAAAUAGGCCCACCAAUUUUAUAAUUAUAAUUUUGUCCCUAUCCACGCCACGCAGACACCACGUAAACGCCACGCGAACAGAGAUGGAGAGUGUGAAAUAAGUUAAAUGUAGUAAUUCAUUCACCGUGUCUAUGGUUCAUCAUGUCUAGUGUAUUAUAUUACUUGAGCGCGAGGUGAGUAUAACCACUGAACACGAUGAAUGGUNUUCUAGAAGUUUCAAAUACUCUAGAUCAUAUUUAACGGCGUGGAUCGUCGAUUCGGAAGCUCAAUUAUUGAAAACAACUUAUGAGUACGAGGGCUCCAAUACUCAUAAUAGUAUAGUAGCCACGGCCCUAUUAGCAGAACAGUUGUC
rnacentral:lncRNA from 1 species